rnacentral:rRNA from 1 species
AGUGAACGCUGGCGGUAGGCCUAACACAUGCAAGUCGAACGGCAGCACAGUAAGAGCUUGCUCUUACGGGUGGCGAGUGGCGGACGGGUGAGGAAUACAUCGGAAUCUACUUUUUCGUGGGGGAUAACGUAGGGAAACUUCCGCUAAUACCGCAUACGACCUACGGGUGAAAGCAGGGGAUCUUCGGACCUUGCGCGAUUGAAUGAGCCGAUGUCGGAUUAGCUAGUUGGCGGGGUAAAGGCCCACCAAGGCGACGAUCCGUAGCUGGUCUGAGAGGAUGAUCAGCCACACUGGAACUGAGACACGGUCCAGACUCCUACGGGAGGCAGCAGUGGGGAAUAUUGGACAAUGGGCGCAAGCCUGAUCCAGCCAUACCGCGUGGGUGAAGAAGGCCUUCGGGUUGUAAAGCCCUCUUGUUGGGAAAGAAAAGCAGCAGGUUAAUACCCCGCUGUUCUGACGGUACCCAAAGAAUAAGCACCGGCUAACUUCGUG